rnacentral:ncRNA from 1 species
UAUCUGGUUGAUCCUGCCAGUAGUCAUAUGCUUGUCUCAAAGAUUAAGCCAUGCAUGUCUAAGUACAAACCUUAAUACGGUGAAACCGCGAAUGGCUCAUUAAAUCAGCUAUGGUUCCUUAGAUCGUCUCAUCCUACUCGGAUAACUGUGGAAAAUCUAGAGCUAAUACGUGCUUACAAGCCCUGACCUCACGGGAGGGGCGCAUUUAUUAGAUCAAAACCAAUCGGGGCUUGCCCCGUCUGCUUGGUGACUCUGGAUAACUUUUGUGCUGAUCGCAUGGCCUCUGCGCUGGCGACGUAUCUUUCAAGUGUCUGCCCUAUCAACUUACGAUGGUAGGUGAUAUGCCUACCAUGGUUAUAACGGGUAACGGGGAAUCAGGGUUCGAUUCCGGAGAGGGAGCCUGAGAAACGGCUACCACAUCUAAGGAAGGCAGCAGGCGCGCAAAUUACCCACUCCCGGCACGGGGAGGUAGUGACGAAAAAUAACGAUACGGGACUCUUUUGAGGCCCCGUAAUUGGAAUGAGUACACUUUAAAUCCGUUAACAAGUAUCUAUUGGAGGGCAAGUCUGGUGCCAGCAGCCGCGGUAAUUCCAGCUCCAAUAGCGUAUAUUAAUGUUGCUGCAGUUAAAAAGCUCGUAGUUGGAUCUGAGGACUCGAAUUGGUGUGCACCAUACGGUGUUACUGCCGAUUCGGCCUACCUAGUCGGUGCUCGCUCUUGGUGUUCUUAAUUGAAUGCCCUGAGUGCCCGGCAAGUUUACUUUGAAAAAAUU